AUAUAUAUUAUAUACACCAAAUAAUAUAAUAUAAUUAAUAUAAAUGUCAAAUUUCAAAAAAUAACAAUUAAUGUCUAUACACUAAAAUCAAAUAUUUUCCUUAUCUUAGAAUAAAUAUAUCUUAAAAUAAGAAAUCUAAAUAAAUAAUUUUUUUUGGUAAAUUAAUAUCUCUGUAAUCAAAGUCUCAACAUUAUUAAUUUAUAGAGAUUCUACUGUAUAUUAUAGCUUUUUAAGAGAUAAUAACUAUCACUCACUAAUACACAAAAGAUGAUUGCCGUAAUCCAUAUUCGGUUUAUAAUUUAAAAGCUUAAUAGAGGUAAUUUGAUCGCAAUAUUAUCAUGCAAAAUGUUGCAUUAAUCAACAUCAAAGAAGCCUACAUAUGUUUAUCAUACCGGGUCACCUGUUUCGUGUAUUUAUAGUUCUAUUUCUAUAAAUAAAAAUAUCAGUUCUAUGAUUAGCAUUUUUAAUGCUUGUUAGGAUAUUCAUCUUCUAAAUCUUGCUUAGUUUUUCAUUUUCCUCAUCUACUCCACAAGCAAAUGUAGGUAAAUAGUUCAAAUAUUGCAUUAAAAUUUUCUUACUCUCUGAUCCAUUUAGAACUGUAGAUUUUUUUUUUUUUGUCACUGCCAUUUAGAACUGUAGAUACAUUCAAGAUUUAUGAAGUUCACAUGAAAGACAGAAAAAGUGUUACUAGUAGUUAGUGCCGACGGGAAUACCAGUAAUUAAUUACGCCCUCAUUUACAUCAUUAUUCCCAUUUAGAUGCUUUUGAAUUCAUAUUUGAUAUUUAAUCGAAACUUGAAUUGUAAGUCCUCGGAACUUGAACACUGGUUGUAAUUGUACUAUAUGUUCCAAGCUUGUUGGCCAUGAGUUCAUUACUUGAAAUCAUUAACAGUCAACUAAAAUACUAAUUUUUACGAAAAUAAACACUUGAACCUGAAACUAAUUUAUACUCCAUCCGUUUCAUAAUUUUCACAUAGAUUAAAAAAAUAGUUAAAAUAUAUUUAAACUUAUGUUAAUUACACAUAUUCAACUAAUAAUAUUUAAGAUAAAUGAAAUUACUUAUAAACCAAUACAUUUGUAGUUAAUAUUAAGCCGGAAGUUCUAAUGGAAUUCUAAAAUGAUAUUUUUUAAAAACAGAGAGAGUAUAUAUCUAAAAGAGUUAUAAAGUCUAGUAUAUGUGUUACACUAGACAACCAAUCUAUAUUCUUUCAAAAAUUUCAAUUGUAUAAAUUUUAAUUUAUCUACUUCAUAUUUAUUUUUAAUAUUGAUAACUUAUAAUAAAUUUUAAACAAUUUAGUUUUACAUAUUUAAAACAUAAUUACUAUAUCAAAUUACAAAGUAGACUUCUUGAGAAGUCUACCUACUAGACUACAUAAAAAAUCUGUUUGUAGUAGACUUCUCUCGUAAUAGUAGAAUUAUGAAAGAUAAAAUCAUAAAAGGAUUUUCUAGUUUUUUUUGUUUGUUUAGAUUGGUAAUUUUAUUACUUUUGCAUUUAAUUGAGUAUGUAAUCUUUUUCUGUAUUUCAAAUGAAUUAAUGAGUCAUAUUUGGGAAAUUCCCCUAAACUAUAUAUAUGUAGCAUAUUAUUCAAUAAGAUUGGCCAAUAUUAUUUUGGUCAAUGUUGAAUUCAACUUAAAUUGAAUAGUUAAAUUUAUUUAUUUGAAAUCAAUUUUGUAUAAAAGUUGAAGUAUGAGAAAGAAAAACUGACGCAAUUGUUAAUGUCAUUGUCUUGUACAUACACUACAAAAAAAGAGUUGAAUUGUAUCACUUAAAUUGUGAUACAAAAUUAACUGAUUCUAUUUUUCUAUUUUACAUUACUUAUUUAUAAAUGAAGCAAAUAUACAUAGUUUAACAUCAAUUAUGAUAAGUGAUGUUUUUAUUAAUUUAUUUGACAUCAGUUUAAUUAAGUGAUAUAUUUUUUUUUAUAAUUUGAAUCACUUUUAACAAAAAUGAUACUAUUACAAAAAGUUGUAUCAUAUAAACAAAUGCUGUAUAAAUUUUCUUGCUGACAUCAAUUAUUAGAAUGAUACAAAGUUUACCAUCAAUAAAAAUUGAUGCAAAUAAAUAAUACUUAAUCGGUUAAAUUGAUGAUAAAUGAAACAACGUAUUUAAAAUAGUCAGUUACACAGAAUAUUCCAAGCUUCAAAAAAAAUAGAGUUACAAGAAAUUGCGAUUUUUAUGGCUUUGAUUUCUUUUCUUUUUAAUGUGACUUUAAUUUAACUGGAUCUUCUUCCUAUAGCUAUAACUGUUUCACCUCAAUAAAUCCAGCUUCUUUUCUACAGUGAUCCUCAUUCUUGGCUCUCCCUCUACUUAAUUUCUUACAAUGUCUUUUUAUCAGUUUAAAAGCUAUUUGAUUCAAAGUAAUUUUUCAUUAACGAUUAAAUAUGUUUUUUCUUAUGUGAAACCUAAUGAUGGAUUAUGUCUCUUCUUAUGCAUGAUUGACAGGAAACUAUGAUUUACUAAACCGACAAAUCUGAUAGAAUUUUUCUGAAAAGGUAUUAUUUGCUUCUCUUCUUCUUGUUCUCAUUUUUGUAACUUACGAUAUUUAGAAUGACUAAAUAAUCUUUCAUUGUUAGGAUCAGGAACAUCCAGAAGUAAAAGAGACAACAUCUACUAAUAUUUCGAAAGUAAAGUCUUAAGGAAAAGCAGCCGAAGGAGAGAAUUUAUCAAUUGAUCUCGUUAUGCCACCAAAAGAGAUUAAUGAUUGAAAUAAACAUGAAGAGAAGGAGAAGAAAAGGAAGAAGAAUCACAACUCAAGAAACUUUAUAGCCAAGUCUAUUUAUUUGUUCUACUAUUUUUAUAUGAAUUCAUCAUUUUCUUCUUGCUGUUGUUAGAAGCUUAGAUCUUUAUCUUUUUAAUCGUCAUAUUGUAUCUUAACGGAAAAUAGUUAAUAAAAAGAUUCUGUUUGAUUUAUUUAUUGACAUAAAUUCAUCUACUGAUUUUAUUUAACAUCAGUUACAUACAAAUAACAAUAUUAUUUUAGAAAAUAUUAUAAAUUAUAAAAAUUAUUUAUUUAAAAAACGUGAUAUUAAUUUAAUAUCAGUUAUUAAUAAAUGAUAUAAAUAAUUAAAAUCAAUUACUUUAAUUGAUGUCAGUGUUUAUAUCAUUUCAAAAGAAUGAUUUAAAUGUUAAUAUCAUUUGUUCACAAUUGAUACACAUUGACAUCACUUACAAUAACUAAUGUAAAUAUUUAGUUUUUUAAAUCAGUUAUUAAUAAAAUGAUGUAAAUUAUUUGCAUCAUCACUUUCAGAGUCAUUUAAUUAAGUGAUGCAAAGUUUUUUUACAUCAUUUAUAAGCAAUGCAAACAUAUGUAAUAAAUGAUGUUAGACAAUCAUUGAGAUGCUCUUAUUGAAACUAUGAGCCGUACAAAAGCUCACUGUUAAAUAAGCUAACUUACGAUAUUUAGAAAAGGAACUGAAAGCCCACUACUAAAGAAAACAAGUUACCAUAUUUAGAGAAGAAAUCGCCCAACAUGUUUUAUUGUUUUUUGGUUUUUGUUUUUCUAAUCAAGCCCAGGCAUCAAACUGGAAGCCCGCGCCUCUGCAACUCCAUUACUAAAAAGUUCUAAUUGUUAGCUAAAUGAUAAAAAUUACGAAAUAAUUAUGAUGGGGAAAAAUUCUACACAUGUGAGUCUGUGACUGAUGUCAAAAAAAUUUCUACCACAUGCCAUCGUUCUUGUGGAGAAUCUAUAAUCGUCGACAGAAACAACAUGGUAAAGGGCAAAAGGGACAAAAGGGAGUCCUGUGAAUCCCCAGUAGUGAAGGCCAUGUGACUAAUCUUUGUCCUUUUUCUUCUUCACCUUUAUGAUCUUAAAAUUGAUAAUUAUAUUUCUAGAAGCACAAUUAAUCUAUCUUUUGUAUCCUUAACCGAAGUAGUCUCAAGCGAUUAUAGAGGAAGCUAAAUACGAACAAAUUACAAACAAAAAAUCUCUGGUUAAGUUAUUAUUGUAAAACAUUUCAAACCCUCGUAACUUAAAUAAUAUUCAAAUGAUUUUUUAAAAACAAUAGACGACGAAAAGACAUAAGUUAUAACGUUUGUUCACCAGAAUCAUGAUGUCUUAUUCUAUUCUUUUGUCAGAUCUUUGUAUAUAUAUAAGUUAUAACGUUUGUUCACUCGGAAUCUACCCUUGUGUUAUUGCGUGAUGUAAUGGACUGAAACUCAACGUCCAAUUGCCCUGAAAAGUUUUGUAUUUAGAUGUAACUGACGCUUCUUUAUUGAUCCUUAAUUCUUAAAGACAGUUUCUGCAUCAGUUUAUCUUGAUAUUAUAUGUUUCUAAUUAAUCAGGUUUGCUUGAAUAAUCAGAAUUAUGAAUUUAUCGUGCAAUUUUACGACAUUGACAGUUCAAAAUUGUCCAGAAGCAAUAAAAAUAACCGUUUUUGAACUUCAUACUUUAUUGCACACACAAUAAAUAUAUCAAUAAGAAGAAUCUUGUAAGAUAAACCUACAUGGGACGGCGAUAUUAAAUAUAAGAUCAAAAUAUUUAUGGCUAAAGUUUACAGUGUGAAAAUACUACGCGUGUGCCAUUUCAUUUGGAAUUCAGUUAGGAUGCUUUACAAGUGGUGGUGCACUUGCGAAACGCUUAUUAUCAAGGGACAUAUGUCGAAGUUUAAAAGUUGGAUUGCUUGAUGAUAAACAACAACAAAAAUCGUUAUAGCUUAUAAGACCAUAAUCUCAUCGUUCUUGAAACUAAAGGAGGAAUCAAUAAGACGUUUUUGGAAAAUGGAAAUAAUAUUUUACAUCUUUAAAAAGUUAUUUUUUUAAAUAGGCCAAACUAAUACAUUUUCAAAGAUGGUAGAUUAUCCUAAAAUAUGAUUUGCAAAAGUUAAGAAAGUAAAAAAAAAAAGUUACCAAUUUUAGUAAGAUGAAUCCACUCAAAAAGAUAAACACUGAAAGAGCAAAUUAGUUCAACAAUAUCAAACCAACUCUAUGGUCUAUAUUAAUACUAAAAUCAUUUGAAAAAGAAAACAUAUAUAGUAAUACUCUUUUAGAAACAGAGUA